AACGAACGCUGGCGGCAUGCCUAACACAUGCAAGUCGAACGAGACCUUCGGGUCUAGUGGCGCACGGGUGCGUAACGCGUGGGAACCUGCCCUUAGGUUCGGAAUAACUCCCCGUAAGGGGUGCUAAUACCGGUUAAUGUCUUCGGACCUAAGAUUUAUCGCCUUUGGAUGGGCCCGCGUUGGAUUAGCUAGUUGGUAGGGUAAAAGCCUACCAAGGCGACGAUCCAUAGCUGGUCUGAGAGGAUGAUCAGCCACACUGGGACUGAGACACGGCCCAGACUAGUACGGGAGGCAGCAGUGGGGAAUAUUGGACAAUGGGCGAAAGCCUGAUACAGCAAUGCCGCGUGAGUGAUGAAGGCCUUAGGGAAGUAAAGCUCUUUUACACGGGAUGAUAAUGACAGUACCGGGAGAAUAAGCACCGGCUAACUCCGUG
rnacentral:rRNA from 1 species